rnacentral:rRNA from 1 species
UUGAUCCUGGCUCAGAGCGAACGUUAGCGGCAGGCUUAACACAUGCAAGUCGAGCGACAAAGGGGCUUCGGCCCUGAGUAGAGCGGCGGACGGGUGCGUAACACGUGGAUAAUCUGCCUCGUGGCGGGGGAUAACAGUCCGAAAGGACUGCUAAUACCGCAUGUCAGGUCGGAAAACCCUGGUUUCUGACGAAAAAGAGGGCGCCCGCAAGGGGCUCUCACCACGAGAUGAGUCCGCGGCCCAUCAGCUAGUUGGCGGUGUAAUAGACCACCAAGGCUAAGACGGGUAGCUGGUCUGAGAGGAUGACCAGCCACACUGGGACUGAGACACGGCCCAGACUCCUACGGGAGGCAGCAGUGGGGAAUAUUGGACAAUGGGCGAAAGCCUGAUCCAGCCAUGCCGCGUGAGUGAUGAAGGUCUUCGGAUCGUAAAGCUCUGUGGGAAGGGACGGAAAAAAG